AACGAACGCUGGCGGCAGGCCUAACACAUGCAAGUCGAACGCCGUAGCAAUACGGAGUGGCAGACGGGUGAGUAACACGUGGGAACGUACCUUUCGGUUCGGAAUAACUCAGGGAAACUUGAGCUAAUACCGGAUACGUGCGAGAGGGGAAAGAUUUAUUGCCGAAGGAUUGGCCCGCGUCUGAUUAGCUAAUUGGUGAGGUAACGGCUCACCAAGGCGACGAUCAGUAGCUGGUCUGAGAGGAUGAUCAGCCACACUGGGACUGAGACACGGCCCAGACUCCUACGGGAGGCAGCAGUGGGGAAUAUUGGACAAUGGGCGCAAGCCUGAUCCAGCCAUGCCGCGUGAGUGAUGACGGCCUUAGGGUUGUAAAGCUCUUUUACCCGGGAAGAUAAUGACGGUACCGGGAGAAUAAGCCCCGGCUAACUUCGUGCCAGCAGCCGCGGUAAU
rnacentral:rRNA from 1 species